rnacentral:misc_RNA from 1 species
UCUCCGUAGGUGAACCUGCGGAAGGAUCAUUACAGAGUUCUCGCCCUCGCGGGUAGAUCUCCCACCCACUGUUAUCGUUACUGUGUUGCUUUGGCGGGCCGCCGGGCCCCGCUCGCCCGCCGGCUCCGGCUGGCGCGCGCCCGCCAGAGGCCCAGCAAACUCUGAAUGUUAGUGUCGUCUGAGUACUAUAAAAUAGUUAAAACUUUCAACAACGGAUCUCUUGGUUCUG